rnacentral:lncRNA from 1 species
GUCCUGUUAGUCCUGUUAGUCCUGUUAGGCCGUCCUGUUAGUCCUGUUAGGCCGUCCUGUUAGGCCGUCCUGUUAGUCCUGUUAGUCCUGUUAGGCCGUCCUGUUAGUCCUGUUAGGCCGUCCUGUUAGUCCUGUUAGGCCGUCCUGUUAGUCCUGUUAGUCCUGUUAGGCCGUCCUGUUAGGCCGUCCUGUUAGUCCUGUUAGGCCGUCCUGUUAGUCCGUCCUGUUAGGCCGUCCUGUUAGUCCUGUUAGGCCGUCCUGUUAGUCCUGUUAGGCCGUCCUUCCUGUUAGGCCGUCCUGGAAGGCCGUCCUGUUAGUCCUGUUAGGCCGUCCUGUUAGUCCUGUUAGUCCUGUUAG